GGAGGACGACGAGGAAGUUAGUGACAGGUGGCAAAAAGGGAGGACGACGAACGGACCUCAAGGCAGUGUGGACGUGGAAGCACACGGUAACGGACCUCAAGGCAGUGUGAACGUGGAAGCACACGGUAACGGACCUCAAGACGGUGGACCUGGAAGCGCGCAGGAACAGACUGUAGCAUAGCAUCACAUAUGUUGGCAGCACCGUGGUCCUGGUAGCGGCUCGUACGUGGAAUGAGAAAACAAGUGCUAGCGAGGGGAACAACACCCGCGAACAUGUUGCCAACGGAAAAGCAUGCAGGCCAGUCCAAGAAUGCACCACUCGUCAUGGACACACACUGCGAACCGCGAACAUGUGCGGGCAUGUACGCACAAGAAUAACUACAAGGUAACCGCAACGGGCCACGAAGACGGGAAGCUGUGGAGGCUUGGUCCUGGAUUUGGAAUAUGUACCAUUGCGCCCAGACGCCAAUCGCAAGCCCAUUUUACGGGAGACUGUGCGCACUCCGAUUGGUCUACAAUGUUUCGAAAUCGAAUUUUGUUCGCUCGCAUGUGCGUGCAGCGUCUCGGUCGCUCCAGCGUGGUUUCGAAAUAGCACGGUGCCGUCCUGUGUUCCGUGUUCUGGUGUCGUCGAUUGCGACAGCACAGUUUGUAGAAAUAUACCCGUGGCUUUGUUCGGGCGUGAGGGUGAUUCAAAGCGUGUUGUGCUGUUUCUGGAUUCAACUAUAUUAUCCAACGAACAGCCUAUCAAGUGCGGGACCGGAAUGCUUCAUGAGUUGAAGUGGUCGGAGGGGCAGUAACUCGUUCGGGCGCCGUCGGAUUUCGAGAUCUGACAACAAAUACACUAUUAUGUGCCACACAAGUGCUUUGCGCUUCGCAGCAAUAUUUGACGCACUGCAAGCAGGAAAGAAGAUGUUCCUCAAGAAAUGGUAUACGCACUCAUGAGGCUGCCUCUGUAUUAGGAAUUGAACGGCAUGUUCGUCUUGCUUCAAGUUCGAACUUUGUUACAGUGUGUCAGCAAGGCAAUGCGAUUUGUAUGUGCAAUGCACCCAUAUAUCAUACCUCUAAAUCAGUGCUUUCUUAUUUUGAAUACCAAAUUCCGGCAGCAGGUGCGAAAUCCGGCAGAAGUCGAUGGUAGCCGGGAUCAGCUGAAAGCAGUUCGAUGAGGAAGAGAAGGGGUGAUGUCCUACUGGCACACUUUAAAAACCUGCGCGUUUUCAUCAUAAUAUUUGUCU